GGUCCUUGUGCAUGAUAAUGCGUGCAUUCAACCAGGUGCACCACCAGCCAGCCCACUCUAAGCAUGAUUUACUCUGCUCCACGUCCAGCCCCUCCCUAAUUGAGGUGCAAUCUACUCUCUUCCAAAUCACUGCAAUAAUGAAUCUACAGCCUAGGUUCAGUUCUUUAUUUCCCCAUUGAAGCCUUUCCUCACCUGUGUGACAUCUUCAAUAAACAUGAACUCUGGGCAAUUUCACUGAGCAACCUUAACUGAGAGACAAUUCCAUGAAUGAGCAAUUUGCUUUAAAAAAAGAAAAAAGAAAAAAGAAAAACCUAGCAAAAUCCACCUUGCAGAAGGGCCAACUCCAUUGGGCCUUGAUCCAUUUGGUCUGUGGUUCUCCAAGGCUGUGUCUGGAAGACACAGACAAAAGCUUCCAUCUGAAGCCAGUCCACAGCACUGCAGGAGAAACUUUCCAUUUCCUCACAUCAGAGGAUGCUGACCCGGCGCCAGAGAAGGGCCGGGAGUCUGAAAUGCAAAAACACAGAAUUAACAUUCAGCUCGGACAGAUUGUCAAAAUGAAGGUUAAAGAGCUGUUGCAAAAUGGAGACUUGAGAAAACCCUCAGUAAUUCAGUGAAAUGGUCGUUUGGCAAAAUGACGAUCUGGCAGUCUGCUCUGCCUCAAACGGAUUUUUUGGAAAUGGGCUUUUGGCGAACUAGCUUCCAGGGAACUAGCUGCUAGCGAAUUCAGCGAAUCAAUCCUUUGGAAAAUUGACUUUAGGCAAAGUAGCUUUCUGCUCUGGUGAGCUGGUCCUCUUGCAGUGGUAAUGGGUCUCAGCUUGUGGCUGUGGUACUGCCCACCACCAUAAGCCCAGCCUGGGGAAGGCAAUGUGUUUUGCUUUUAAUUUUACCAUUAUUUCUGGUUUAUUAAAGUUAGAAUAUUUCAGAGACAUGA